AGUCCUCUCCACCCCAACCUGUCGUCUCAUCGCCACCGUGGAAACCGCCUAAACUCAGAAAAUCCGACCUGUUUUUUAUGCCCAUUAAAUAAGACAUGUUAGAAGAAAUAAUUCGUCAUUCGUCCUUUUGGUUAUUAUUACCGAAAUUGACAGACCAUGCCAAAACCGAAAUCUCUCCAAAAUCCAGUAUCUUUGUGCAGCGUCGGAACUUGCGAAUCGUCACGAUGGCGAGUGUAGCGUCUAGUCACAUUGGGAUUGUAUUGACUGAAAACGAUUGGGAAAUAUGCCUGACCUACAGUAUAACGAAAAGAAAUCAAUUCUUGCAUGAGGUAAUAAACUAAAAUGUACUGAAUACGUUUGGGUUGGGCGUUUCGUCGGCAACGCUCGAGGAAAGCCGAAUCAAAUGCCACAUCGACAUCGCACAGGAAAAUCAAAACAUCGUCUUCUAUUGGCGAAUUUUCCCAGUGUUCCACGCCAACCUGAAAGAAACCAAUCCCGGUUAUUGCAUGUUUGUGGAACACCUCAAAAAUGAAAAUACUUGUAGACCACGAGCUCUGGAAAAGGUAGAAUUGAUAUUCAGCAAAUGAAAAUUCGAGAAACCCGAUGCCUUCUCGAAAAUCAACAUUUCUCGUUGUAUUUCAUUCCAGUGCUUAUCGCCGAAGAAGACUACAGUCAAGUGGAUGCGGCUUUGUCCGGCGGUGAGCACGUUUUUCUUGAAACGAUUCAGAAAGGACUCGAAAGCCGACAGUCGUCCAGACAACGGAACGAUGAUGUUCACUAUGGGUAUUUCAAACUGAAGUGGCUGUUCAAGACGGACAGCUACCAGAGGGGCGUGAGGGCGUAACAGAGACACUUUAACCAAAUUGGCUCGCUUGGAAUGAUUGUCUGUUGACGCUGCGGCUGGUUGUUGCUGAUGGUUGAACCACAAUUCGUACUGCGUCCCUUCGAUCGGGUCGAGCCUGUAAAGUCCUUCAACGAAAUCUGACGCGACGUAACGUUUGGUCUUCGCUGCUGGUUGAGGUAAUGCACCUCGAUCGCGAUUAUUAUUCAAAACGGACAGUGCUGAACUGACGGCUUCUUGUAAAUCCUGCCUGCGUGAUCCUAUGGGGCGUUCUACCACUCUUCUGCCCAUACCUGCUUCCGUCGAGUAGUAGGCUUGAAGCGUGAACAAGGAAUGCGGAAUAAUUUCGUACUCGUUGUGCCAUUUUUUGCCUUUUUCAAUCUCCGAUUGCUCAAUCUGCGAAUUUUGAAAGUCUAAAAACAGGAUUCCGUGGGGGAAAAAAAUUAAUCAUUUUACCUGCUUCUGGAUGUAGCUGAUUGAACAUGGAACAUCGUUCCCGUUGUUACUGGCAACAGCGACACCAACGGGGGCGAUCCCGCCUGUUCCAAGAGAAGAUGAGGCAAUAAAUAAAAAGGGGUAGACAUGUGACGUUAGAAAGAAAAGUUUUCUUUCUGAUGAGGCAAACAAAGGAAAACUCGGGAUUGACAUAUACCUUGGAGUCGAAGACGGUCUUCAAGUUGACUGAUGACUUGCUUCAGCUGUUUAAGCUGUCGCUUUAGCUCUUCGUGAGGAAGAGACGAAGGCGACGGUUCUGUGGGCGCAACGAUUUCUAAAGGCAGCUGAGACCCGCACGGCUGGAUAACUAAAUGAUCGGAAAUAAAGUUUAGUUCCGGGGGAACACCACCAAGGGAAAUAAAGAGAGGAAACAAAAAGGUUCUAUGACUAGGAACGUAGGAAGAAAACAAUAAUAAAAAGAGAGGCACGCAACCCACAUCCACUUUAAAGAUCAUUCGAUUGCGUUUGGGUAUUAAGACGACCUGUGCAAGACGAGGGGUUCAUCGACUUUGUGAAUGUGCGUGCUCGGAAGACGAGUUGAGAUUAGAUGAAAAUCCAACGAGUAAAGGAAAAGAGUCAACCAGUUUCAUAAAAAUACGACGGGUGAGGGACGAAAGGGAGUAACUCGAGUCGAGUCAAGAGGUUCUUGAAAGAUAUCGCUUACCUUUCGAAGCAAAAGUCAAAGCAUUGUGGCUGUGAAGCGAAUCGACGUUGCUGGAUAGCAACGAAACUGCGACGAACGUGAGCACGACGAGGGGUAAUGCUAGUAAAAACAAACGCAGCAAAACACGUCGUGCGCUACGGUUCAUGGCGUUCUCAUCUUGGACGUCGUCGUCAUUCGAGUUAAUAGUUUAGUCGUCGUCCACGUCGAAAUCUAUGCCACCUCUUCCUAUACGCCGUUCUCAAAAGUCUCAACAUCACAAAUUGACACACACACAAAAGAGAGAACGGCAUUAAGUUAUGACCAACGAUAAGAACGAAAAAGAGAUAAAAGAACAUUUUAAGAGAAUGCGAUCUGCGAUCGAAACUUCUGAUAUAGCGAUUGGAAAACAAACUACCUCAUCAACAAGAUCGAGGGGUUGACUUAAAACUUAGGAAGACAGCGGUAGUCGAAUCGUGAUCGAAUGCGGACGAGGCAGCUAUUCAAACGACAGUUGGGUAUCCUGCAACAAGAUCUGACGGUUAAGGGAAACGGAACAACGAUAACAAAUCAAGGGCCAUGUCUUUUAACGCACAAUUUAUGUCUAUAUAUAUCAAUGUUUUUAAGUUCUAAAUAAACGUGUCCACCAAGUUGUGCGAACGGCCAGUCCCGCUGAUUGAAUUAUCAGCCGGCUGCAGCCACUGAGUAAAAGCUUCUUUCACUCUCUCGGGACAGAUGGUGAAGACUGAGUAAAACACCCAUACAGACGACCAAUCAGACGCAAGAGCUUUUUUUUUUUUUUACUCUCUCUAAUAAGUCAGGGCCGGCUGUUGGGGAACUUGGACUAAAGAUAAACAGUAACGCACAGCUAUAAGUACCACAAUGUUUUAAGGUCUAGUGAACAGACAGCUUGACGAGACAGGCAACUUUUUAUUUAAAAAAAAGCUUCGAAUAACGACCAAUAAAGAAAACAAAAUACAGGGACACAAACUAGAAAUGAUGUGGGGGGGCGAAAAGGUGCUACAGUUCGAGAGAGAAGCCAACCGAUCAGCGGUAAAAUGAAGGCAGCUCACCUUUUCUGUAUAGCAAGUGGAGAAGCGGCACCAAUUGAGUUACAUCAGACAACGAAUAACAAACUAUAUACGAUUGUCCAGGUUUCCGUUAGGUUUCCGUCAGUCCAAACAGGAAUCAAAUGUUUUAGACAGAAGACGGUGUACCGCAACGGUAGCUCCGUCUUUCUGUUCGGGCUGGACGACAGGACUGACACUACGGGGGAAACAACAAAAAAAAGCUGACGUACACCAGCCCCAAAGUUGCUAGUGGAAUCGCUCCUCCUUCUUCAAGCCCGUCCUCUUGUCUCAUUCCCGCUCCUCUUCCUCUCAGCUUUUUUUUUGUUUUUUUCUGUUUCUUUUUUGCUAGGUCCUCGUCCAGCCCGUCUGGUUUCCCCUUCCUCCCUUUCUUUCGUUCCGUGUCGAUAUAAUACACGCGUGCUGGCCUCUCUUCGGUUA